CGUGUAGCAAUACACGAGUGGCGCACGGGUGAGUAACGCGUGGAUAUCUGCCUUUUGGUUCGGAAUAACCCCGGGAAACUGGGGCUAAUACCGGAUGGUUCCUUCGGGAUAAAGAUUUAUCGCCAAAAGAUGAGUCCGCGUACGAUUAGCUAGUUGGUGAGGUAAUGGCUCACCAAGGCGACGAUCGUUAGCUGGUCUGAGAGGACGAUCAGCCACACUGGGACUGAGACACGGCCCAGACUCCUACGGGAGGCAGCAGUGGGGAAUAUUGGACAAUGGGGGCAACCCUGAUCCAGCCAUGCCGCGUGAGUGAUGAAGGCCUUCGGGUUGUAAAGCUCUUUUGGCGGGGACGAUGAUGACGGUACCCGCAGAAUAAGCCCCGGCUAACUUCGUGCCAGCAGCCGCGGUAAGACGAAGGGGGCUAGCGUUGUUCGGAAUUACUGGGCGUAAGGCGAGUGUAGGUGGUUGUCCAAGUUGGAUGUGAAAGCCUUGAGCUCAACUCAAGAAAUGCAUUCAGGACUGGGCGGCUAGAGGACCGGAGAGGAUAGUGGAAUUCCCAGUGUAGUGGUGAAAUACGUAGAGAUUGGGAAGAACACCAGUGGCGAAGGCGGCUAUCUGGACGGUUUCUGACACUAAGACUCGAAAGCGUGGGGAGCAAAACAGGAUUAGAUACCCUGGUAGUCCACGCCGUAAACGAUGGGUGCUAGACGUUGGCGAGCUUGCUCGUCAGUGUCGCAGCUAACGCGUUAAGCACC
rnacentral:rRNA from 1 species